rnacentral:sRNA from 1 species
CCAAAAAUUGAUUGUGCUUUAAUUUGUGAUGACUUGAUAUACAUUUUUAGGCAUAUAAGUAUAUAUCAACUUGUUAUAACACAGAUUGUUUGUACUGGCAAUGUCUUGAAAUUGAAAUUGAAAAUGACAACGAAUAUAUACUACCUCAUUGCUGUUCCAAUGAUUUCUAUUCGAUAUGAAUAUAUUGUGAUCUUUCCAUCCAUGUUAACCCUGUGAAAGUAAAUAAAACAAAUAAAAAGCUUUUCGUCAUUAACAUUGU